UACGUAGGGCGCGAGCGUUGUCCGGAUUUAUUGGGCGUAAAGAGCUCGUAGGCGGCUUGUCGCGUCGACCGUGAAAACUUGGGGCUCAACCCCAAGCCUGCGGUCGAUACGGGCAGGCUAGAGUUCGGUAGGGGAGACUGGAAUUCCUGGUGUAGCGGUGAAAUGCGCAGAUAUCAGGAGGAACACCGAUGGCGAAGGCAGGUCUCUGGGCCGAUACUGACGCUGAGGAGCGAAAGCGUGGGGAGCGAACAGG
rnacentral:rRNA from 1 species